UUUUUGCCUAUGAUGGUAUUAAAUAUACUUUGAGAGAUGUUUUCUCUUUGAAAUAAUUCUAAUCUGAGGCAAAGA
rfam:Gossypium hirsutum cultivar TM-1 chromosome 22, whole genome shotgun sequence